UGGCGGACGGGUGAGUAACGCGUGGGUAACCUGCCUCACACAGGGGGAUAACAGUUGGAAACGGCUGCUAAUACCGCAUAAGCGCACAGUACCGCAUGGUACAGUGUGAAAAACUCUGGUGGUGUGAGAUGGACCCGCGUCUGAUUAGCUGGUUGGCAGGGUAACGGCCUACCAAGGCGACGAUCAGUAGCCGACCUGAGAGGGUGACCGGCCACAUUGGGACUGAGACACGGCCCAAACUCCUACGGGAGGCAGCAUG
rnacentral:rRNA from 1 species